rnacentral:lncRNA from 1 species
AAAGGGAAUGAUGAAAGGUGGAAACAAACAAGAAGAAGCGUGGAUAAAUCCAUUUGUUAAACAGUUUUCAAACAUCAGUUUUUCGAGAGACUCACCAGAGGAAAAUGUACAAAGCAAUAAGAUGGACCUUUCUGGAGGUAAGAGAAAAUUAAAUCUGUUUAUAUUCCUCAUUGAGGGACACGCACAUCCAUGACAUGAUUCUACUGAAAGAGCCCUGACGUAGAUCAGGACAGGGGAGGCUGUGCUCUCCAAUAGACGUACACAUGCUGUGGUUAAAUGAGUGCAUGUGCCUUGAAAG